rnacentral:rRNA from 1 species
UACGUAGGGGGCAAGCGUUGUUCGGAAUGACUGGGCGUAAAGGGUGCGUAGGCGGUGUAGCAAGUUAGAAGUGAAAUACCUAGAGCUUAACUCAGGUGCUGCUUCUAAAACCGCUAUACUUGAGUGCAGUAGAGGAAAGUGGAAUUCCUAGUGUAGCGGUGGAAUGCGUAGAUAUUAGGAGGAACAUCAGUGGCGAAGGCGACUUUCUGGACUGUAACUGACGCUGAGGCACGAAAGUGUGGGGAGCAAACAGG